AAGGAAACGAUGAACUUCAACAGGUUCCACAUAUUUGUUCUUCUCUCUUUGCUAUUCUUCUCUCUCUCUCUGCCAACAAUCCACGGUUGGGGAGUAGAUGGGCAUCUCACGGUUUGCAGGAUUGCUCAGGCUCGUUUAAACAAAGCUGCGGCAGAUGCCGUGAAGCAACUUCUCCCAGACUACGCAGAGAAUGAUCGGAAGUCUCUGCUCAUGGGCAGACCAUGUCAAAUUUAGGUAUCACUGGUCAUCUGCCCUUCACUACAUCGAUACUCCUGAUGCAGCUACCAGUAUAACACCUAGAAUUGUGGUACAAUGCAGUUCUAGUAUUAUUAGCGGGCUACAUGAAAAAUGCUACGGUUGAUAUAUCUGCUUUCUCAAUUUGCCUCAACAUCACUUCAUGGGAGUUUAUGAUAUCACUUGGAUUCUUGUCUGCAGCUUGUGUGCGAGUAGCAAAUGAAUUGGGAAGAGGAGAUGCAAAAGCUGCAAUAUUCUCAAUUAAAGUCAAUCUAUGCACAUCAUUGUGUAUUGGAUUGCUUUUCUGGGUUCUGGCUUUGGUCUUUGGUCACGUCAUUUCUUAUGCAUUUACAUCUAGCACAGAGAUUGCCAAAGCUGUGUCAAGUCUUUCCGUCCUACUGGCUUUCUCUAUCUUGCUCAAUAGUAUUCAACCAGUACUCUCAGGAGUGGCUAUAGGUGCUGGUUGGCAAGCUAUAGUGGCAUAUGUCAAUAUUAGUUGCUACUAUGUUGUUGGAGUUCCUGUUGGGAUUAUUCUUGGAUAUGUUGCUGGGCUGGAGUUAGGGGUAUCUGGAUUGGAAUGAUAUGUGGAGUUGCAUUACAAAAUCUUAUGCUUAUUUUAAUUACUUGGAGAACUAAUUGGAAUGAUCAGGUUAAAAAGGCACAUGAACGCCUUAACCGAUGGUUCUUAGCACCUUCUGAAGAGUCCAAUGAGAAUACGAGCCCCUGAUCAGUUACCUGAUUAAUGACUAAAAUAAACUGGUGCAACUAAAAGUGAGCUUCAAUCUCAUUCCAGCCAAAAGUUAAAUUUAAUUAAUAGUUUAUUAGCAAGUUUUGUAAAGAUCCAGAGUUGUUCUGAACAACAACAUCUCUCUACAAGCUUUUCAAAUCAAGGAACAGAGGAAAGUAUUAAUGGUAUGCUCCUCAACAAAGGUUAUCCUCCUUACCACCUACAGUGGCAUUUUUGUUCUUGUCCAAGAUCCAAUUGAGCUUUUGGUGGAAUUGGUAACAAUAAUCUUGAAUUAUUUCUUAAUCUUUUGUUCAAUUAAGCAAAGAUUUUAUUGGGUUAAAGUACAAAUACUCUUGAUUCAUCUAAUGUUUAAUUGA